UGAGAAUCAGGCUCCUGAGGCUUGAAUACGCUGGAGCAAAGGCUGAAGAGGCCAUAGAACAAUAGAUUUAAGUAGAUAUAGAAGGGAGCCAUCAAUAUCUGACCUUGAUUCUUCAAAUAUCAAACAUACAUGAGUAAUGGGGGUGAGUAUAAGGUUAUCAGGGCCGGAGGAGCAACGAUUUUCGGUGAGCUUGAGGUAGGAGAGGGUGAGAG
rnacentral:lncRNA from 1 species